UCUGACCGGUGAAAGGUAGCGUAAUCACUUGUUCUCUUAAAUGAGGACUGGUAUGAACGGCAUCACGAGGGUUAUGCUGUCUCCCUACUUUAUUCAGUGAAACUAAUCUCCCCGUGAAGAAGCGGGGAUAAAAAUAUAAGACGAGAAGACCCCAUGGAGCUUUAAACUCAGUAUCAACUGCCAUAAUUAUAGCCUUAUAUUCAAGCAGUCUAUGACUACUAGUUUUCGGUUGGGGUGACCACGGAGUAAAACCUAACCUCCAUGAUGAAAGGAACUAAAAACCUAAAUUAAGGGCUACAACCCUAAAUAUCAUAAAAUUGACUAACUGAUCCAAUUAAUUGAUCAACGAACCAAGUUACCCUGGGGAUAACAGCGCAAUCCAUUUCAAGAGCUCUUAUCGACAAAUGGGUUUACGACCUCGAUGUUGGAUCAGGGUAUCCAAGUGGCGCAGCCGCUACUAAUGGUUCGUUUGUUCAACGAUUAAAACACUUACGUGAUCUGAGUAGGAAACGGGAGAAUGGAAAAG
rnacentral:rRNA from 1 species